GAUGAACGCUGGCGGCGUGCCUAAUACAUGCAAGUCGAGCGAAUGGAUUAAGAGCUUGCUCUUAUGAAGUUAGCGGCGGACGGGCGAGUAACACGUGGGUAACCUGCCCAUAAGACUGGGAUAACUCCGGGAAACCGGGGCUAAUACCGGAUAACAUUUUGAACCGCAUGGUUCGAAAUUGAAAGACGGCUUCGGCUUGCACUUAUGGAUGGACCCGGGUCGCAUUAGCUAGUUGGUGAGGUAACGGCUCACCAAGGCAACGGGGCGUAGGCGACCUGGGAGGGUGAUCGGCCACACUGGGACUGAGACACGGCCCCGACUCCUACGGGAGGCAGCAGUAGGGAAUCUUCCGCAAUGGACGAAAGUCUGACGGGGCAACGCCGCGUGAGUGAUGAAGGCUUUCGGGUCGUAAAACUCUGUUGUUAGGGAAGAACAAGUGCUAGUUGAAUAAGCUGGCACCUUGACGGUACCUAACCAGAAAGCCACGGCUAACUACGUGCCAGCCGCCGCCGUAA
rnacentral:rRNA from 1 species